rnacentral:lncRNA from 1 species
CCCAAAUGGUCCAUGGGCAACUUAAAGUUCUCCCAUAGCUAAGUACAGAUUUCAGUGCUUUCAAGUUCAGUUUUUAAAAGGAAUUAACUAGGGAGAAUAGGACCUGUGACAACUGUAAAUAAGAAUUAAGUGAGUAUUGGGGAAAAAAAUAAUUACCCACCCAACUACAUCUUAUGUCUUACGGAAAAGGGAUGCUCAGCUUUGCCUGAGAUUCAUAUGGUGAGAGUCCUUUCCUCCACUUUGAUCAUUUAAUGUGAGAAACUUACUUGUGGUAGAUAAGUGAGAUUUGAGCUAAAUUCCAAAAACAUGUGUCUAAUAUAGGAAUCAUAUAGA